AGUCCUUGCACUAUCAGACCCUCCCGCGGGACAGUCUUGCCAGCAGGCCCGGGCCACACCAGAGGCGGAAGAGGCGGGUCAUCAGCUGCUCACUUCUCUCCAGCCCUGGAAGCCAGAAGCUGGGGGCUGGAGAGAGGGAAGACGCUCUAAACUGGAUGGAAACCUUUCAAAGGUUUGACAUGACAACUCACAGGAUUUUUUAAUUAUUAAAAUGAGACUGAUCUUGGGACUAGAUGCGGCUGGAGGGCUUUCAGUUAUCUGGGAAUGAUGGACCAAAAAAAAAAAAAAAAAAAAAACAAACCAACCAAACAACGAUGGGACUUUCCUCAAUUCAUUCAGGAUAAGUCAACAAAGAAGCGUAAAGGGAGUUACAGGGCACGUUGUUGCUUCCUGCUUCUCUGAUUCUCCCUGCGUGCCAGAAGAUAUUUGCCUUUCAGAUGGGUUUUUCUGGCAUUGGUGACGGGAGAUGAUCAACGGCGGGAGGGUGAGCUGAGAGACAAGCCGGGAAUGGCCUGGCAGGUUGCACUGAUCAUCCACACCACAGGCCGCAGUGUGAACUGUUCAGGAGGACUGAGUCUGGAAGUAUGACUGACGUGGAGAGAUGGUACCUGGAAUGCACAGGUUUCUACAAGCUUCAAAUCAACCAAAAACUGUUUCAAAAGGGAGGCUUCUGGCCCGCCUGGCGGACUCGGGAACGAACAUGGACUCAGGAAUGACUGAGCGUCCCACAACAGCUCUCCCUCUGUUUUCA
rnacentral:lncRNA from 1 species